AAAAUUCGAUUCAAAGUUUUUCAUUGGAUUAAAGAAGGUGGGUCCCAACUGUAAGUGUCCUCCUCUUCCUUUUCUUUCCCUUCUUCUCUUCCUCUUUCUCUCUCUUUCUUAUCUCCUUCUCUGCUCUCUUCUCCCCUUUCUUCUCGAUUCUCCAUGCCAGAGGGGAAGGGGCGGGCAUGGCACACGGCGGGGUGGCGGCCUGGCAAGGGGCGCGGCGGCAGGGUGGCGGCCUAGCACGGCGGGGUGCCGGCCUGGCGCGGCGGGAGUGGCACAACGCGGCGGGCGAGACGGCCGGCGCCCUCCCCCUCCCAGAUCCAGCGGCGGCGGGCUAGGGAGGGGCCGGUCGUGGCCGGGAGCGGCAGCGGCGGCGGGCGGGAGCUGCGCGGCGCGGCGUGAGCGGCAUGGCAGCGGCGGGGGAUCUCCGGAGGCUCUGACAACAACGAUGGGAGGGGCGGCUCUGGUGGCGGCGGCGGCGAGCAAUGGCGACGGCGACAACGAGGACAAGGACGGCUGUUGAGGCUUCGAGCGACGUCGACAGCGACGAGGAUGGCGUCGCCGGCGUCCGGAUAGUUUCCAACCGCAACCGAAUCCGAGUUCUGACGGAUACCAUCGCUACUGUAUUCGAAUCCGUUUCCAAGAAAAACUAUCCGAAUUCGUAUCCGAAUCCGAAAAUAUCCGAAAAAAAUCCGACCGAAGCGAUCCGUAUCCGAAAACACG